GGCACAAGCGGUGGAGUAUGUGGUUUAAUUUCGAUGCAACGCGAAGAACCUUACCUGGUCUUGACAUCCCGGAGACCCUUAGGAAACUAGGGGGUGCUUCCAUCUGGAAGAAUCUGGAGACAGGUGCUGCAUGGCUGUCGUCAGCUCGUGUCGUGAGAUGUUGGGUUAAGUCCCGCAACGAGCGCAACCCUUGCCUUUAGUUGCCAGCAGUUCGGCUGGGCACUCUAAAGGGACUGCCGGUGUUAAACCGGAGGAAGGUGGGGAUGACGUCAAGUCCUCAUGGCCUUUAUGACCAGGGCUACACACGUACUACAAUGGCCGAUACAAAGGGCAGCGACACUGCGAGGUGAAGCCAAUCCCGUAAAAUCGGUCUCAGUCCGGAUUGGAGUCUGCAACUCGACUCCAUGAAGUUGGAAUCGCUAGUAAUCGUGGAUCAGCAUGCCACGGUGAAUACGUUCCCGGGCCUU
rnacentral:rRNA from 1 species